CGUUUCAUUUUAUCUUAUUCAGCCCCUUAAAUCCCCACCAAAACAAGUAAAUUCGUUCUCCGCCCUUCGCUCACAAUUCACAAACUCCGAGAGAGCUUCUCUGGCGGAAGCAAUGGCGGCGCCGCUCGUCAACCUCGCCGCGAAUCUAACAGUCUCAAAGCUCUGCUUGGGGACGAUGACUUUCGGCGAGCAGAACUCGUCGCCGGAGUCCCUUCAACUCCUCGGCGGAGCUGUCGAGGCCGGAAUCAACUUCUUCGACUCGGCAGAAAUGUACCCGGUGGUUCAGCUAGCGGAGACUCAGGGGAGGAGCGAGGAGUACCCCGGCCGCUGGAUUAGGGAGAGCAAAACGAUACAUCAUCGUUUUGGCCACCAAGCUAUGUUCCCAUGUUUGGGGAAACAGAAUAUGAUCCAACGCGGCAGCUUUGUUCAAUUCCUAUGGAGGGACAACUGGAUUCUCUUGGGAGAGCUGUUGAUUCGGAUAUGUUGGUCUCAGUAACGAAACACCAUACGGUGUCAUGAAGUUUGUUCAGGUAGCUGAAAGGAGCACUUGCCGUCCCAAGAUUGUGUCUCUGCAGAAUGCAUACAGCUUGCUAUGCCGAAAUUUUGAUUCUGGAUUGGCUAAAUGCUGUCAUCAUGAGAGGUAUUCAAAGAGUUUGAUUUCCGGAAAAAGUGAUAACUGAACUAUUCAUCACGCAUGAAACUAAAGGGAAAAUUUGUUCGAACUUUGAAUUGCCAAUGCCAAUUUCUUGAUCAGUUCAAUUCAACGUUUUAGGAUCGGUUUACUAGCUUACAGCCCCCUUGCAAUGGGCAUGCUCUCAGUAUCUUUCGCAUGAUGGGGGUCCGGCAGAUGCUCGGUUGAAUGUUUGUAGAGGGGAAAUAUUCUGAAGGGGAAUCCAGAUACAACCUGUCCAAUCACAUCAUAAGAGCAGCAGCCAUGCCUUUGUUUCGAGCCGCCUCCUCGUUGCAAGUGUUAUUUUCGGAGCAACCAAGUCACGGCAGCUUCAGGAGGUUCUAGACAUUGGUCUAGAAAAGUUCAUGAGAACACGGUAGGCUGUCUUUGUGGUAACAAAAGCAUGUGGUGGAUGCUGAUAUAUAUGGCCCAUAUGCCUACCCCUUUUAGUCUGUCUGUUCGAAUCCUUGGGGACAGGUGGAUCCGGGUAUGAACUAUAAAUUACAUUCCAAAGUCAAAUGCGGUGAUCAAGUUACAAGUUCAGAGUCCGAUUCCCUCAAAAGCACCAUGUAACUUAAGGAAGUGCGCUUAUUCUCUCGUACUGAAAAAUAUGCCACUUGUACAUUCUUUCUCCCUAGUUUCCGAAAACUUUGAAGGUUCCCCGGUCUGUGCUACCUGACCGGUGGCGUUGACCGACCGGUGUUGUCGGAGGUGAAAAAUGUUGUGCCGGGAAUUUUUAUAUAGUGAGAGCUACUUGUUGCAGGCAUGAAACAUGGAUCCUUGGAUAUGAACGCCUUCGGCAGAGUCUUUAUGUUGUUACAUUUUGUGGACAAUAUGGACAAGAAAAAGAAAGCCUCGCUGAAAUUAGAGAAAUAAAUGGGCGGAUAUUCAAAAGACUAACACCUUUAGGCCAUUCUAGAACGAAUAAGAUUUAUUCUGGAUUUCUGUGUUUAAAGUUUGUAUAUCGAGAGAUUCAGACUAUUCAAGAGAAUGAAAAAAAGAUUUGAAUUGUUCAAGUUUUUGGA